UACCUUCUUCUGAUCUCGUCGUGCAGUUGUUUGGUAAUCAUCGCUUACGUUUUCACAUGAUCGAGUAGUUCGGCGGAGUUCAGUUUCGUUUGUUGUCAACGAACGCGAGAUAACUUUGUGUCGUUUUCCUUUUCUCGAGUGUAAAGGGCGGAUUUAUCUUGAAACUCGUGGAUUCAAUCUCUCUCCAUUUGUUUCUGGUGAUUAACUUGGAUGUUACGGUAAUCUUGGUCAUCGGGAUUCUGUAUUCGACGGACUGGAUCAGAUAAUGUGAAUAAUGUUCCAAGGGGUUUUGACUUGAACCUGAGUUUUGACGAUGCGGCAGGCAGCAGAGGAAAUGGGGGUGUACGAUUGUUACUAGCGGUAGAAAAUUGUCAUCUACAUGUGAUGAGAGUGCUUAUUAUACUAAGAAUUUAAGCUAAAAGGGAAUGGAGCGGUCUUUUUGCGUGUCAUCAUUAUUUUUCUUUUUCUUGUUUUUGAUGUUAUUGGAGCUCGCUUAUAUUGCAUGUUUAUGCCAUAUCCAAUUCAAGAAGUUUUGCCCCCUUUUUUCUUUUUUCUUGUUUUUGAUAUUAUUGGAGCAGGCUUAUAUUGCAUGUUCAUGCCAUAUCCAUUUCAAGAAGUUUUGCAGUCAGGGAAUGUCAGGGGUUUAUUUAUUGGUGGGUGUUUAUUUAUCCGGGAAGAGUUUACCGUCAGAGAAUGUCAGGAUUUUUGGUUACCAUUGAAGAGUGCAUUUAGCUGGAAGGAUCAAUUACAUGAAAGUGGGGAGGUGGUGACUUCUGGCAGUUUUCGUCAUGAUGCAGGACUUUCGAUCCUUUUAAUAGCUGCCUUAAGCUCUUGCUGGAUUGAUUCUCUUGUUGGUGACAUCACCAUAUCAUCCCAAAUGAAACCAGACCCGGAGCUAGUAUCUUCCUGUGGGUAGAGUUCAUAGAUUGAAUUAGCAUCCUCAUUUACUUUGCUCAGCUUCUCCAGACAGAUGAUCUCCUGUGGGUCUACCAAUAGGUUGCUGCUUCCAUCCUUCCAACCUAUCAGCUGCAGACAAGAUGAAAGCCAAUACUAUAUUACCCUGUAUCAAGAUAUCAUGGUGGUUGAAUGUUGCACUUUCUUUAAGUGAAAAAAGUGGAGAGAGGAAGAAACCUUAGCAGAUCCCAUGGAGUUGGUUGAGUAGAGCCUGGCAUUGUCAACAAGUUGACAAUAUCUUGGAAAGGCAUUAGCAAACCUUUGGUGAGACUUCAAUUGGGAUUUCACUCUAACUGCUCUACCCAUUAUUAUAGCUCUCCUGCCAUUGACAUCAUAGAGUUGAGCUUGGAAACUUUCAGCUCAAUGACCUUAUGGUCGAAAAUUUCAGGUUAGAACAACUAGCCAAUGUACUUCUCCUGUCCACAUUGAUUGUCUCUAUUCAGCUCUGUUAGUUAUCCGGUAUUUAUGACCCAAGAAGUCUUAUAUAUAUAUAUAUAUAUAUAUAUAUAUAUAUAUAUAUAUAUAUAUUCAAUUUAGGUGCAUGAACCCCCCAAGGCAUAAAUUGUUACAUUUGGGUUUGAUUCAAGAGUAAGGUUUUUUUUAGAGUCGUACCUGAUUCCUCGGACUACUGCUAGGUAGGCAUCACAAACAACUCCAACCAUCUCUAUCCUGUAAGGCUUCCUUGUACUGCACUUAUUGUUCUCUUGGUUGUCCUCCACCGGUUCCCAGUAGUUCUCUGUGAUGGUCCCAUCAUCAGCAACCUUGUAUCCAGCUCCCAUCCGAUACUGCUGGUGAUGUACAUUCCGUGCCAUGGCUAUGGUUUGCUGAACAAAUGGUUCCCAGGAGAGAGUGCCAUCCAUGAUCACAUCUCGACCUUCAUUCAGCGCAGUCACGAGUAGAGAGGAAGCUGCAUCUGUCGAUGACUGAUGGACCUGCUUGUAAUUGUUGUGUGAGCUCAGUUUAUUCUGGAAGCUUAGACCAUGAGGAGGACAAGGAUGACAUCAGAUUAUUUACUGAUUGAUGUUGGAGAUAUUGAUCUAUAUUCUCUAAACUCUGUUGAUGAUAUCUGAUCUGAUAUGGAUUUCAGAGAACCCAUGUUUAACUAGAUUGUAGGCAUAGAUUAAUGGAACUGAAUCUAGUCUAAGAUUGAAUGAACUCAGAAUCAGAUCCAUACUCGAAGGAAAUUACACACAUCUGGGCUGAAUCAGAAGUCUGUCCUCCCUGUUUCGGAAGAUUCGAUAGUCAUGGAGUAUGUGAUAUGUGGUGUCUAAGCUCCAAGCGGAAGAAGAAUAACUGAAAGCAGAAGAGUUAAGGAAUAAAAUCUCUAAACAAAGAACAGUAGAGAGAGGAAUACCAGUUCAGCAGUCUGGAGCAUGUCAUCAUGAUGACCUCUGGAGCUGAUAGCUCGAUAAAUGACAUCCGUCUCUUUGAAUGCAUCAGCUUCAACCACCACUGUGUUUGCUGCAGCGCCAGACCAGAAGGCUCUGAUAUGCGGGUAACAACGUAUCAUGAUAAAAGACUAUGCAUAUCUAACUGAUGAAAAGCAGAUACAAAUAUGGUAAUUUCCAGUCAUAUCAGGAUCAGAUAUAUCUAACUAGAUACAUUGUUGAUCUGAAGUUUUUUAACUUGUUUAGUUUGAAUGUGACCUAGAACCAUUACUGUCCUUUUGAUCUUGGUUGUUUGAGUGGAGGACAUGGGACAUUUGGGCAUCCCACCUGUCACCUUAGCUGUUUUUAACUCUUCUACUCAGACCAUACCUUAAUAAUAAACUCUUCUGAUAUACUGGUGUAUGUCUAAUAGUGCUACCCAACAUUGGAGAUGCCUGUCAAGGCAGUGAUUUAAAAUUUAAAAUUUUUAAUUUAUUUUACUUUUUUUUUUCACCAAGUAUCAUUUUGCUUCUGGUCUCUAAUUAACCGACGUCUUUUUUUCAUUUUUUUUUAUUACCACUUUAUUGAAAUUACAGUCAAGGAGUUGGCAUUUCGCCAAGUUUUAGUGAAUUAUACUGUUAGCAGAAUAUGCUAGGAUGAACUGCUUCAGUGACAAGAAACUAGUAAUUAUUACUACUUUAUAUAUGUAGGCCUCAUGAACCGACAAGAUCUUACUGUUCCCCUGGUCUUAAGAUGCACAUGGUAUGACUGCUACUUUGUGCCAUGCAUACUGUAUAUAAUCUGAACAUCAAAUGAAAGCUUCUUUAAAGUUGGUUUACUUGGUGAUGGUUUUUGUACUUUUUAAUCUCUGUUCUUUAUCAUUCCCUUAAUACAUUUGGGGUCUGUUUUAAUUUAGUGUGAUGUUAAAAGAAAAGAACUUACUCCUUUAGUAUUUCCUUUAGCACAGUGCUCUUGCCAGCUCCCAUCCCACCACCCAUCAGAAGAAGAACAGGGCUCCGAUCAGCAAUGGCUGCCGGAACCAUCACGUCAGUGCACUGGGAUUCAUCAUGGGUUCCAAUGCCAAUGGCCUUCAUCUCCUCCACCAAUGUCGAUAUGACUCUUGUGACCUUCAGGUCUUUUGUUACCCUUUCAAAUCUUAGUUUCCUGUGUUCAACCAUGUGAAUUACCACCACUAUGUUAGUGAAUCAGUUUUGAUUUGCUUAAAAGUAUGUUAACUGAUUCAGAAAACUAUAGCUUUCUUGUGAUAACAGCAUGAGGACUAAAGUAUAGAAAUGCUUUUACAUCCAAAAAACACCAAACAGUGGUGAGAUGAUCUACCAUUACUUUUCCUCCACAUUUUACCAUGAAUGGGGUCAUCUUUUUUUGGGUUUCUUUUGUAGGUGUCUAAUAGAAUAUGUUUUAGUUGAAACACUCACUGCAAGGAGACUUUUCCAGGUACAGUGACAAGAGACACUGUGUUUUGUGAAUCAUAUGAAGGCCGCCUUGUCCUGAUAAUAGAGCUAUAUGGAUUGCACGUGGUACAGGUACCAAAGAACCAUUGAGCUUCCGCCUCUCAUGUGGCUCCACAAGCCCAACCUCACCGCAACAUGGGAUGAGAAGAGUUUUUAAUACAAUCCAGAAAAUUAUCCUCAUGUUCAGCUGGGGAGUGGUGUGAUUCCAGUGGAAAGCAAAAUAACCAAGAAUGCAUUUGUCCAGCUCCUCGACAAGCUUCACAUACAGCGAUUCAUGGUCUGGGUCGUUUGCAAAGAAGGCAAAUAAAUUGUCCUCGCACUCCUUGGUUCUCCUCAGGUAAUCAUGUGCCAUCUUGCACAGGUUAGGACACUCAUUUACGUCCUCGAUCCCCAUCUGCCUAGCUGCAAUUACACCAUCAGAACAUGUCAUCCCUUGGAAGAGACAAUAAACGAUGCAGUAAACAAAAUGCAAAAUGUGGAGGAGGACCAGGUGAAAAGCUUUUCAAACAGGUACAAUGCAUGGACGUGGGUCCGUCGAAUAUGAACCAGUCAUGGUUUUCAUUUUAUCAGCAGUUCUGUUUCCCUGUCAUUUUUCUAGGAUGGGAUGGGAUUCAGGUUCUCGUCGGCUUAAGGGAGGAAAAUAUUACAAUGGGUAUCUUAAGAUCAUAAGAUUUCAGUAUCAUAAUUGGUAUCAUAAGAUAGCUCCAGUAUGAUAAUGGGUGUUCUCUUACUGAUGUUCUAAAUAAUGUUUACUGUGUUAUGGAGUUUUCUUAAUGAGAAGAUAUGUUAUUCAAAGGUAUGUGUGACUGAGGAAAUCAUGUAUCUAAUUCUGAUUUUUAUAGUUACCAACAUAAUGAGGGAAGCUUUCCAGCUGCUCCACCCGCCCGGACUCGGCCAGCAGAAGCACCGGCUGCGGAUCCCUCAUCUGCGGCUACCUCCUCCGUCGCUAGUAGCGCAGCGCUGCAGAGAUGGUACCAGCAGUUGGGUUGACAAUGAGCUAGAGGACAGGUUUGGAGCUCCCAUCUGAUAGGUGGAGCCGGAGGUGAUUUAGUUAGAGAAGUUUCAACGAGAAAGAAAGCAUCAGGGAGAGGUCAAGAGGAAAGGAGAUCCACAAGACUGGUCAAGCUAAUGAGGGGAUGCUUGCCUUUGGGAAUGGUGGCCUGAGGAUAACAUGGAACUUGAGAUCCGAACCUGUAGGAGACGGUGUUGAAUGUGUAACAGAAAAAAACGGGUGGUGGGAGCAUGCAAAAUGAGAAUAGCUUUUGAGGUCAGCGCUGCAUCAUAAGAUGAAAUAAAAGAGGAAAGGAUAAAGGUUGUUUAUUAGACUGCUACCCCAUGAUCAGAUCAUCGGAGAAAGGUCAAGCCUUGAUUGGUGCAUAGAUUGGCUGAAAUGCCAACUUAUGGUGUUGUGAGCAGCAGCCGCGUCACAAUCUUCCAGAAUGAGUUGUCCCUCCGACGGUGGCACUGAAAGAGUUGUGGAUUUGGGUUGUGAGGACACCCUUGAAACUGUCGUCAUGCUAUGGUAAGUGUGACUCUCAAGUUAUCACCAUGACUUUCUCUUUGUUGGUCUCACGAAUAAAUAAUUGUCUAGCGGAACAAAGUUAUAAAUUUGUAACGUAACAUAUGAAUGUUCUCUCACACGUUUAGAUCAUCCACUUGUACUCGAGAUUCUGAUUAGAGUUUUAAGUGUUUUAUUAAGAUAGAUUUUGGUUA